UUUUCCAAAGUUCAAAACCCCAAUUUAUUUACACCGAAGCCAUUCAUAACUCAGUUCUGACUUUGGCCCGAAAUAAUAUCAAUCACCCAACAUUGACAACAAAUAAUCCAAUCAAUUUUAUGAUUCUAACAACAAUAACAUCAGUCACAACAUGAUCAUACACACAAUUCAACAAUUAACAAAUAUCACAAUGAUCAUGAACAUAGAGAAGAAAACACC
rnacentral:lncRNA from 1 species